UUGGAGGGCAAGUCUGGUGCCAGCAGUCGCGGUAAUUCCAGCUCCAAUAGCGUAUAUUAAAGUUGUUGCAGUUAAAAAGCUCGUAGUUGAAUUUCGAGACCGGUUUACUGGUCGUGCUUUUGUACGUACUGGUAUUAUUGGUUUCUCCUUUCUGACGAAUCAUAAUGCCAUUAAUUUGGUGUUUUGGGGAAUCAGGACUGUUACUUUGAAAAAAUUAGAGUGUUUAAAGCAGGCUCACGCUUGAAUACAUUAGCAUGGAAUAACGAAAUAGGACGUUUGAUUUUAUUUUGUUGGUUUCUAGGAUCGACGUAAUGAUUAAUAGGGAUAGUUGGGGGCAUUAGUAUUCAAUUGUCAGAGGUGAAAUUAUUGGAUUUAUUGAAGACUAACUACUGCGAAAGCAUUUGCCAAGGAUGUUUUCAUUAAUCAAGAACGAAAGUUAGGGGAUCGAAGACGAUCAGAUACCGUCGUAGUCUUAACCAUAAACUAUGCCGACUAGGGAUCGGAUGAUGUUAAUUUUUUAAUGACUCAUUCGGCGCCUUACGGGAAAC
rnacentral:rRNA from 1 species